rnacentral:rRNA from 1 species
UCUCAAAGAUUAAGCCAUGCAGGUCUCAGUGCAAGCCGAAUUAAGGUGAAACCGCGAAAAGCUCAUUAAAUCAGCUAUGGUUCCUUAGAUGGUACGUACAGUUACUUGGAUAACUGUGGCAAUUCUAGAGCUAAUACAUGCAAACCGAGUUCCGACCGCUUAGCAGGCGGAAGGAAUGCUUUUAUUAGAUCAAAACCAAUCGGACUCUACAAGUAUGGGUUCGUUUAAGUCUUGGUGACUCUGAAUAACUUUGUGCUGAUCGCACGGUCCCGCACCGGCGACGCAUCUUUCAAAUGUCUGACUUAUCAACUUUCGAUGGUAAGCUCUGCGCCUACCAUGGUCGUAACGGGUAACGGGGAAUCAGGGUUCGAUUCCGGAGAGGGAGCCUGAGAAACGGCUACCACAUCCAAGGAAGGCAGCAGGCGCGCAAAUUACCCACUCCCGGCACGGGGAGGUAGUGACGAAAAAUAACGAUGCAGAACUCUUUC